ACUAUUUUGGCAGAAAAAUGUGAUGGUUUUAGAAAUCAUGAAUAUAUAAUUAUUAUUAUAUAAGUAGUA
rnacentral:tRNA from 1 species